rnacentral:rRNA from 1 species
UCAGACGAUGCGUCAUGCAUAUCAAUAAGCGGAGGAAAAGAAACUAACAAGGAUUCCCCUAGUAACGGCGAGUGAAGCGGGAAGAGCUCAAAUUUGAAAUCUUAAAGGGUUUCCCUUUACGAAUUGUAGUUUAAAGAAGUGUUUUCUGUUGAGGUUUUGGUAAAAGUUCUUUGGAAUAGGACAUCAUAGAGGGUGAGAAUCCCGUAUUUGACCUUUACUUUCAACUUUGUGAUACACUUUCAAAGAGUCGGAUUGUUUGGGAAUGCAGUCCAAAAUGGGUGGUAAAUUUCAUCUAAAGCUAAAUAUUGGCGAGAGACCGAUAGCGAACAAGUACCGUGAGGGAAAGAUGAAAAGAACUUUGAAAAGAGAGUUAAACAGUACGUGAAAUUGUCAAAAGGGAAGCGUUUGACACCAGUGUUGUUUUUCUGAAAAUCAAUUAAAGAACUGUUUAUGCUAAGCUGUUUAGACUUUAUCAGCUAUCUGUUUAGUUUUGAGCUUUUCUUUAAUGCACUUUUCAGUUAACAAGUCAACAUCAAUUCCUUUUGCUGUAAAAAAGCUUCGAGGAAGGUGGCUUGAGAUUCGUCUUAAGUGUUUAUAGCCUCUUGCCUAUGUAGUCGGAGAGAUUGAGGUCUGCAGCGUAGAUCCUUCGGGGAUAAAUGCAUUUGUGCUAAGUUAUAGCAUUUUAUAGACAACUUGUUGACUAUGAUUUGUCUUGUAGCUUACUCGCUUAUGUUAUUUUACCUACGCUUAGGAUGUUGAGCGCAUGUCUCUCUCU